GGGCGGUUAACUCAGUGGGAGAGUGCCACCUUCACACGGUGGAAGUCACUGGUUCAAACCCAGUACCGCCUACCA
rnacentral:tRNA from 1 species